AGCUGGUCCGAAGGUAGUGAGUUAUCUCAAUUGAUUGUUCACAGUCAGUCACAGAUCAAACUCCUUGUUCUACUCUUUCCCCCCUUCUCACUACUGCACUUGACUAGUCUUUA
rnacentral:Y_RNA from 1 species